rnacentral:rRNA from 1 species
AACGAACGCUGGCGGCAUGCCUAACACAUGCAAGUCGAACGAAGCCUUCGGGCUUAGUGGCGCACGGGUGCGUAACACGUGGGAAUCUGCCCUUCGGUUCGGAAUAACAGUUAGAAAUGACUGCUAAUACCGGAUGAUGACGUAAGUCCGAAGAUUUAUCGCCGAAGGAUGAGCCCGCGUAGGAUUAGGUAGUUGGUAGGGUAAUGGCCUACCAAGCCGACGAUCCUUAGCUGGUCUGAGAGGAUGAUCAGCCACACUGGGACUGAGACACGGCCCAGACUCCUACGGGAGGCAGCAGUGGGGAAUAUUGGACAAUGGGCGCAAGCCUGAUCUAGCCAUGCCGCGUGAGCGAUGAAAGCCUUAGGGUUGUAAAGCUCUUUCAGUGGGGAAGAACGGGCCAAGGUUAAUACCCCUGGCUUCUGACGUUACCCACAGAAGAAGCACCGGCUAACUCCGUGCCAGCAGCCGCGGUAAAG